GCUGGUCGGAUUGCCAUGCCUUCAGUUCAAACGAGGAUAGCUCAGGCAGGGCUUCAAAGUCAGUCUCGGUUUUGCUUUUCAAACAAAGGAAAAUCACUUUCGCAUACGGGAAAGGGGUCCGAGAUAUGUAACAUAUGUAUGUGAAAAAGGGAAAAAGCCGAGCGGAUUAUCGUCAGGAUCUCAAUUCGAUCCGGUAGUUCGAUGGGAGGGAACCCUAUAUAAGAACAUCCACUAUUCGGUCCCGUUGGAACACUUCGCCUUGAAACAAACCACUAUUCAAAUACCCGGAAAGAUUGAUACUAACGCUCCUAGUUUGAUAUCAUUUCCCCUCACUAAUAGCUAUAUGAAGAAUAAUAAUAGCUCAGUAAUCGAUUCUCGACUAGUUACUAUAUUAUGCACAAGACAGGAUGUACUGUACAUAGAGGGAAAGUCAGAAAGAUCAAAUAAAUAGAAACGGCUAAAAAUCAUCCUCAUCUGUUCAAGAACCCCAGACCGUCUCUGCUUUUCAUGAACCCCUCCAUAGCUGCGUCUCCUGCCUGUAUUGCAAGCCAGUAGAGCGA
rnacentral:sRNA from 1 species